rnacentral:pre_miRNA from 1 species
GUUUUGAAGAUGGAGCUCUCUGAAGUCCAAAAGAGGAUCUAAGAGGGGAAAUUGAGUUGUUGAUCUAUGGAUUCCCCAGUCCUAUCUAUUCUUAGGUUAAUUUUAGAUAGGUUUAUGGUUUGCAUAUAUUAGAAGCUGGAUUGACCAUUCUGGGAUCCUUGUUUGGAUUGAAGGGAGCUCUACACUUGAAAACU